rnacentral:lncRNA from 1 species
GUUCUUCACAAGACUUAAGACAGCUUAUCUGCUUUGAGGACGUAGCUGUGCUGGGGAUUGAAGACAGUUUUCAGGGUUCUUCAGGCAGGUGAAGGGAGCGGGAUGUGGCCACCUACGCUGAUCCUGCAUCUGCUUUUGGUGGUCCGCUUGUCCCUCAGUGCCCAUGGUGAACAAAUGUCUUGCAGACCUCAGAACUGCAUGCUUGAGUGCAUCCGCCGGGGAGAUCCCAGAUGUGAAUACUGCAGAAUCUCAGCAGACGAUGUACAGAUAUCUCCCAGCAUUCCCUCCUCCAGCCCUUUUGGAAGUUGUGUGCCUUGGCCUUGUCACUCUUUUCUAGGUCAGGAAACCCCAGAGGUCUGCCAGCAUUAUGUUCACGCACCACACAAUAUUCAGAUUGAGUUUGAAGCCAGUGAAGAACCAACAUAUGAUGCUAUUACUGUGUCAUGGAACCCAAGCCAAUACGGUAAUGAAGA